UGGGGCGUCGACAAGUGGUAAGUCUCUGGAUUUUGAUUCCAGCAUCCGUAGGUUCGAAUCCUACCGCCCCAGCCA
rnacentral:tRNA from 1 species